rnacentral:rRNA from 1 species
GACGAACCGUGCGAACGUUAUUCGGAAUCACUGGGCUUAAAGCGCGUGUAGGCGGCCCGGCACGUCCGUCGCUGAAAUCCCCCGGCUCAACCGGGGAAGUGGCGUGGAUACGACCGGGCUGGAGGGGGGUAGGGGGAGCCGGAACUUCCGGUGGAGCGGUGAAAUGCGUUGAGAUCGGAAGGAACACCAACGGCGAAAGCACUCUGCUGGGCCGACACUGACACUGAGAGACGAAAGCUAGGGGAGCGAAUGGG